AAGUCGUAACAGGGGUUUUCCGUAGGUGAACCUGCGGAAGGAUCAUUAGUGAAUUCUUGGGGAGUCCCCUCUUUAAACCAGAGAAGGCCCCCGCUCCCACUAUUUUUCCAAACCCCUAGUGCAUUUGUCCUUUUUUACCACACCCUUUAUGUAAUUGAACAAGUUCAAUGAAUCUUUUGAUAAAUGAAAGAAAAA
rnacentral:misc_RNA from 1 species